rnacentral:lncRNA from 1 species
AUUGAGAGAAGACGGGAGGUAGCCGUCCGCACUCCUGAUUUUUCCUGCAUCUGCUAUGGACUGAACGAACUCACAAUUAGAGCACCAAGCUAUUGCAAAUUAGAGUCCGAAUAGUAACUGCAACUUGAGAAGAAUGGAAUCAUAAUUCAUCUGAAUUGUGAUGGCUCCAGAAUGUGGUAUUUCUCUGCUGUCUUGAUCCUAUUUCUCACAGAAGGAAUUCAUGCUUCACUUGAAUCUUGCCCUGUUUGCAAACCUGGAGAUGUUGUCCAGAGGAUUUUCCCACAGAGCGAAGAGAGGUCUCUUGGAUAAACAGCAAGGCAGCGUAUGAAAGAAGCUUGUUUUCUGCAUCCCACUGGAAAAGAAUCAAAAAGAAUCAUCUAUGUGAACUGCUG